rnacentral:rRNA from 1 species
UACGUAGGGGGCAAGCGUUAUCCGGAUCUACUGGGUGUAAAGGGAGCGUAGACGGCAGAGCAAGUCUGAAGUGAAAGCCCGCGGCCCAACUGCGGGACUGCUUUGGAAACUGCCCGGCUAGAGUGCUGGAGAGGUAAGCGGAAUUCCUAGUGUAGCGGUGAAAUGCGUAGAUAUUAGGAGGAACACCAGUGGCGAAGGCGGCUUACUGGACAGUAACUGACGUUGAGGCUCGAAAGCGUGGGGAGCAAACAGG